rnacentral:rRNA from 1 species
UGCAGUCGAACGGUAACAUUUCUAGCUUGCUAGAAGAUGACGAGUGGCGGACGGGUGAGUAAUGCUUGGGAACUUGCCUUUGCGAGGGGGAUAACAGUUGGAAACGACUGCUAAUACCGCAUAAUGUCUUCGGACCAAACGGGGCUUCGGCUCCGGCGCAAAGAGAGGCCCAAGUGAGAUUAGCUAGUUGGUAAGGUAACGGCUUACCAAGGCGACGAUCUCUAGCUGUUCUGAGAGGAAGAUCAGCCACACUGGGACUGAGACACGGCCCAGACUCCUACGGGAGGCAGCAGUGGGGAAUAUUGCACAAUGGGGGAAACCCUGAUGCAGCCAUGCCGCGUGUGUGAAGAAGGCCUUCGGGUUGUAAAGCACUUUCAGUUGUGAGGAAAAGUUAGUAGUUAAUACCUGCUAGCCGUGACGUUAACAACAGAAGAAGCACCGGCUAACUCCGUGCCAGCAGCCGCGGUAAUACGGAGGGUGCGAGCGUUAAUCGGAAUUACUGGGCGUAAAGCGCACGCAGGCGGUUUGUUAAGCUAGAUGUGAAAGCCCCGGGCUCAACCUGGGAUGGUCAUUUAGAACUGGCAGACUAGAGUCUUGGAGAGGGGAGUGGAAUUCCAGGUGUAGCGGUGAAAUGCGUAGAUAUCUGGAGGAACAUCAGUGGCGAAGGCGACUCCCUGGCCAAAGACUGACGCUCAUGUGCGAAAGUGUGGGUAGC